GCCAGCGUGGUGUAGUGGUCUGAGCAUUGGACUAUGACUCUGGAGACCAGGGUUCGAAUCCCAGUUUAGUUC